rnacentral:rRNA from 1 species
GAUGAACGCUAGCUACAGGCUUAACACAUGCAAGUCGAGGGGAAGCGACAUCGAAAGCUUGCUUUGAUGGGCGUCGACCGGCGCACGGGUGAGUAACGCGUAUCCAACCUGCCCACCACUUGGGGAUAACCUUGCGAAGGUAAGACUAAUACCCAAUGAUAUCCCACGAAGGCAUCCGAAUGGGAUUAAAGAUUUAUCGGUGAUGGAUGGGGAUGCGUCUGAUUAGCUUGUUGGCGGGGUAACGGCCCACCAAGGCUACGAUCAGUAGGGGUUCUGAGAGGAAGGUCCCCCACAUUGGAACUGAGACACGGUCCAAACUCCUACGGGAGGCAGCAGUGAGGAAUAUUGGUCAAUGGGCGCAAGCCUGAACCAGCCAAGUAGCGUGAGGGAAGACUGCCCUACGGGUUGUAAACUGCUUUUAUACGGGAAUAAAGUGAUGCCUGCGGGCGUUAUUGCAUGUACCGUACGAAUAAGGACCGGCUAAUUCCGUG